GUGUUGGAGUUCGACGACCAGAAGGGAAGAAAGGGGGUAAACCCUAGUUGAUCAAAAAUCCAGCAAUUGAUAAGGGAUUUCAAGGUUUAGUUGAUGCAUGAAGCUCAAUUCUCGACCAUCUAACCUUUCUUAACAAACGGGAUAAAGGAGGAGAGUUCGAGUCGCACAAAGAAAGAAGGAAAUCAAGAUCGAGGCAAAUCCUCAAUUUAGGCGACUUGGCAAUUUGGAGCGAGCAUAUGCACACCUUAUGGUUAUCAAGCGCUUCCGCUAUUACGUAUUAAUGUUUUGGGUCAAACGCUCGUUUUUGUGUAACAUCGUUAGUGGUUACACUUUUUAA